UUAAAGCUGACCUUCUCACCAAGGAAUGGGUAAGUCUGGUUUAAUUGUUUAAUGGUAUAAUAUUCAGAUCUCCUCAGGGAUGGAAGGGAAAAUUUCUGAAAAGAGUGAUGCAUUGUUUGCUUUAUGGAGCAAAAAAUUUGAGUCUACCUUGUGCAAACUCAAGAAACAAUAUAUUGGGAUUAAAUGUUAAGAUGAUGAAGUUAUGCGGCUGCGUGAUGUGACCACACAUCUAUUUUCAAGUAUACAGUGGGUACGGAAAGUAUUCAGACCCCCUUAAAUGUUUCACUCUAAUGAUUUGCUAAAAUCAUUUAAGUUCAUUUUUUUUCCCUCAUUAAUGUACACACAGCACCCCAUAUUGUCAGAAAAACACAGAAUUGUUGACAUUUUUGCAGAUUUAUUAAAGAAGAAAAACUGAAAUAUCACAUGGUCCUAAGUAUUCAGACCCUUUGCUCAGUAUUUAGUAGAAGCACCCUUUUGAUCUAAUACAGCCAUGAGUCUUUUUGGGAAAGAUGCAACAAGUUUUUCACACCUGGAUUUGGGGAUCCUCUGCCAUUCCUCCUUGCAGAUCCUCUCCAGUUCUGUCAGGUUGGAUGGUAAACGUUGGUGGACAGCCAUUUUUAGGUCUCUCCAGAGAUGCUCAAUUGGGUUUAAGUCAGGGCUCUGGCUGGGCCAUUCAAGAACAGUCACGGAGUUGUUGUGAAGCCACUCCUUCAUUAUUUUAGCUGUGUGCUUAGGGUCAUUGUCUUGUUGGAAGGUAAACCUUCGGCCCAGCCUGAGGUCCUGAGCACUCUGGAGAAGGUUUUCGUCCAGGAUAUCCCUGUACUUGGCCGCAUUCAUCUUUCCCUCGAUUGCAACCAGUCGUCCUGUCCCUGCAGCUGAAAAACACCCCCACAGCAUGAUGCUGCCACCACCAUGCUUCACUGUUGGGACUGUAUUGGACAGGUGAUGAGCAGUGCCUGGUUUUCUCACACAUACCGCUUAGAAUUAAGGCCAAAAAGUUCUAUCUUGGUCUCAUCAGACCAGAGAAUCUUAUUUCUCACCAUCUUAGCAAACUCCAUGCGGGCUUUCAUGUGUCUUGCACUGAGGAGAGGCUUCCGUCGGGCCACUCUGCCAUAAAGCCCCGACUGGUGGAGGGCUGCAGUGAUGGUUGACUUUCUACAACUUUCUCCCAUCUCCCGACUGCAUCUCUGGAGCUCAGCCACAGUGAUCUUUGGGUUCUUUUUUACCUCUCUCACCAAGGCUCUUCUCCCCCGAUAGCUCAGUUUGGCCGGACGGCCAGCUCUAGGAAGGGUUCUGGUCGUCCCAAACGUCUUCUAUUUAAGGAUUAUGGAGGCCACUGUGCUCUUAGGAACCUUAAGUGCAGCAGAAAUUUUUUUGUAACCUUGGCCAGAUCUGUGCCUUACCACAAUUCUGUCUCUGAGCUCUUCAGGCAGUUCCUUUGACCUCAUGAUUCUCAUUUGCUCUGACAUGCACUGUGAGCUGUAAGGUCUUAUAUAGACAGGUGUGUGGCUUUCCUAAUCAAGUCCAAUCAGUAUAAUCAAACACAGCUGGACUCAAAUGAAGGUGUAGAACUAAUUAUUAUUAUUCUUAUUAUUAUUAUAUGAAACACUAUACUUGGAAACAUACUGCGAAAUCAAAAUGACUGAUUUCACACAAUAAAUCAAACUACAUUUUUACAUUUUCAAAAGGAAAUGUAAAUACUGAAUACAUAUACACUACUAAUAAUAGUUGUAAAUAAAUAAAUAAAUACUACUAUUUCAUGAAGUUCCUUUAGAUUUUAAUUCAUUUCAAUUUAGUGAGGAGAAACAACAAAGACACUGAACUCUUCAUGGUUUGUGAAAAGAUGCUGUGAGAGCACCAUGUCGGUCAAAACUGUAAACACAAAAUUAAGUGCAAUUCACCUUUAUUCCACAAGGUGGCAAUGUCUGAUACACAAUGCUGAAGUGACGACUCAUUCAGACAGAAAACGAAAUAAUAAAAAAAACAUGAAAUGGCUCAGUGAUUUACUGCAGAACAAGUACUAAACGCAAUCAAAUAUGACUGUCACUGUGAAGCUGUUAGCGAUCGAAAUAUUGAUUUUGAAGAUGUUGAAAAUUAUAUAGUUCUGAGAAUAGGUUUGAGAUCGCGAAUGGGCUCACAUUUGCGACCUCAAACAUAAAACUAGCCUAUUAUUUGCUGAAUUUACUGGGAAAUGAGCUCUGACGAGGACAGUGAUGAUGGCAUAAAACAUCUGCUCAAACUGAGCCCUUUCAAGCUCCAAAAGGUAACAAAAUAUGAUUUAUUUUAUUCUUCUGUAAUUGCUACUCUAAUAUCAGAGGAGUUUUAUAUUAUUGCGACAGGUAGAGAUCCUUCCGUGUUAGAUAUAGAGCCGGGUCAAUAAAUACCCGAAUAUGUAAGAAUGAUUGGCGAAACAGUCAUGCAUUUAAGGGUUAACUGAGGUGCCCUUGAGCAAGACACUGAACCCCCAAUUGGCUGCAGCAAAAAUGACACUGCUGCUGCCAGCCUGUGUCUGCCCAACAGUGGAUCCAGGUGCCAUAGCCUCUGUUGGUAAUCAGCAUCAAUGAGCUGUAGAUGACACACGGUUUGUUAUUUAGCCAUCCAUGUACCAAUUUUGAUACAGACUACAGCGGCAUGUGAACAACCGACAAGGUGCGCUGGUUCUAAGACCAAAGUUCAGAGACGUGUAUUUUACGAACACCCUCUAGUGGAAGAUUAAAAUAAUUCUGAUCAAUUUAAGUGUCAUUUUCCUUGUAUAGCAGGGGUGUCCAAUAUUGUUCCUGGAAGACUAGUGUCCUUCAGAUUUUGGUCCCAAACAUAAAAAUACAUGUCUGAAGAUGUUGAUUAUACUAUUAAUCCAAGAUGCUGGCAUGGACAGACUGAGCAGCUACUCUGGGUUCUAAAGUCAGUGCUUUUAUGUUGUUUAGUCUUGUCCCCCUUGUCCAAAUAGUCUUUCUUUACAACAAAAUCUUCAGGUAAUCACAUCUACCAACACAUGAACUUUGAAACAAGGGGAAACAACACAUUGGACCUGGUUUACACAAUGGAGAAAAAUGCAUACAAAUCUGUACUCAGUCCCCUCCCCGGGUACGAUCACAUCUCUGUUAUGCUAAUUCCAGCAUACAGACCACUUCUCAAACUUGCCAAACUGGUUCAAAACAGAUCACAAUAUGGCCAGAUGUUGCCGUCUCAACACUCCAGGACUGCUUUCUGUACACAGACUGGAACAUGUUCAGAGAGGCAGCCACCUACAACAAUCACAGACCUUUGUGGAAGAAAUUUAAAUUUUAACUUUAAUUUUAAUUAAUCAUAACUAACAUUUAUUUCCUUACAGGGAUAACAUUUAUGUUUGAUAACAUUUAUGUUUGAUAACAUUUAUAUAUGGUUUGGUAAUGUAUGUCUCUAACACUUGGUCAGAAUUACUGUGUGUGUCUGAAAAUAACAAAAGGAGAAGUAAAACUAGGCAGGUGUCUAGUUUUGUUAUGAAUGACCAACCUCUUGAUCAAGCUAUUCAGAUUUGCUCCUACUAAGAAUUACAAAGAAUUAUACAUAUGUGGAACCAAUCAAAUUAUGUAAUGAAUCGUCACCUUUACCAUGUUGCAUUCAUAUCAGCAGAUGAAGCAACCCAUAAAACAGCACGAACCUAUCUGUCAAUCGAGCCUUCCAGGAGCACAAUUGGACAGCCUUGUUAUAUAGAGAAGAUGAAACCUGUAUGAUCUCUCAGUAUCAGGCACUGUAACCUCCACUAGGUGGCGCUCUUUCAGUGUGAUAAAUGUAAUAUUCAGGCAGUGCUGAUGGUGGGAGGGGCCAGUAAAGCUGCUCAUUACUGAUAAAGAGCUGAAUAAAGAGGAAGUAACUAAAGCAGACAGAUGUAGACAGAGAGAUUCACACAGAGAACAUUCAGCAUAAAGAAGACUGAACUCAACUCACAAUGAAGAUCCUCCUCAUCUUCUUCACUUUCUACCUGAUCUCAGGUCAGAGCUUUUCUCUUUCAUCACUGCAGUAAUGAUGCUGUUUUCUGUUCAUGAGGUUUCUGAUCACAGUAUCAAUCUGAUUGACAGGUGCAGUGAGAUGCUUUAGUGUCACUGGAUAUUCUGGAGGAAGUCUUCUUGUUGAUUCUGGGGAGGUUUGGUACAGUGCAAAUGUUAAAUCCUUUAAGAAAUUACCUGAGUGGAGAAGUAUAAUGAAUGAUACGAAACAUGAAAAAUGGAUCAAUGAUGGAAGAUUCACAUUGUUUGGAAAUAAUGAGGGAAACCUUAUGAUCUAUAUCAGAAAUCUGAACAAACAUGAUGCUGGAGGAUACUGGAUUGGUGUUCUUUACAAGUGGGGUAUAGAUAUGACUUUAAAUGUGGAAGAAGAUUCAUGUUGUAACACGUCAAAGAGAGAGAUGGUGAAUAUUGGACAAACUGCCACAUUCAGCUGUGAAUAUUCACAGAAUCAUAUUAAUGAUCCCAAGAUCAUAUUCAAAGAAAGAAAAGAUUCCAUUGAGACGAUUUACAGCAUAUGGAAGAACAAAGAAAGAUUCAGUAUUUCUGAUGACAGACACAAAAAUCUCUUCCAUGUGAGAAUAAUUGCUGUGAGACCAGAUGAUGGAGGAGUUUAUUUAUGUGGAGUUUGGAUCAGAGGACAAUCGUACAGUUACUCCGUUAUUAAUACUGUUCAUCUACAUGUUAGCAUGGCUCCAGUAGUGAGACGUGAAGGAGAAUCUGCUGAGAUCAUCUGCCCUUAUGAUUCAAUCUAUAAAUCAAAGUCAAAGUCUCUCUGUAAGGGGAAGUGCUCCACUAGAGAUAGAAAUACUCUCAAUGAAGAGAAAGAGACCAAGACUGACAGAUUGACUCUGAAUGAUGACGUGACUGCAAGUGUCUUCACUGGGACCAUCACUGGACUGACAGCAGAGGAUGCUGGGAAAUACUGGUGUGCAGUGACAUUAGAGAGAGACGUGAAUUAUCUUUACACUCAUCUGAUCGUCAUCAUGAACGAGGGUGAGGAAGGUUUAUCAUCUGAAUAUGUGAAACUAUGGCUGUGAAUUGAUGUUCUUAUAUUUCUAAUCAUUUCCAGAGCUGAACUUGACUAAGUAUGAAGGAGACGACAUGUCAAUCCAGUGCAAACAUCAUGAUGAACAUCAGAAACUCUUCUGCAAAGCACAUGAACCCUCCAUGUGUGUGAAGGAUGGAGUUUCAUUGAGACGAUCAGAGAUGAUCGAUUCUCUUUCAGUGAUGAAGCUUCUACUGGAGUCUUUACUGUAAACAUCACUGAUCUGAGAGAAGAGGAUUCUGGGAUAUACUGGUGUGGAGCUCACAUCACCACUAAAGUCAGUCUCUCUGUAAAACAGGAUUUCUCUUUGUUCAACAUUAUUUCUUUGUGUUCGACUCUGCUGCUGAUUGGAGGAUUCACUGUGACUGAGUGUUUAUUAAGAUGAGGUGAUGCUGUCCUUCAUAAACACACAAAUGAGAACAGACAUUUUAUGUUUAAUAUCAAGCUACAGACUAAUCCUAAAAACUUUAUGAAUAGUCUUUUUUUUUAAUGAGGACAUUUUAAAAUGUCUUCAAAGGGACUUUUUGUCAGAUGCAUCUCACUGUUGUUCAUUUCAGAUGUGUUGAUAUCUUAGGCAUGAGCUCAUCAUCAGACAAGACAAUGAAGUAGUGUCUCUGUCUCUUCAUGCACUGACGUUCUUGUGUGUUUUUGUCUGUGAGUUUAACUCUGUACGUUAUGUUUUUCUCUUGCUUAAUCUCAGAUUGCACAUUCACACUCAGGGUGCUUUCACACUGGUUGUUUAGUUCGAAAUGGGGCACGGUUUGAAAGAAAAAUUGGUUAUGUGAAGACUUGUGGUCUGAGUUUGAUUGCACUGGAACUGUUGCAUGAAUCAUGUGAAUGUAAACUUGGACGCAUGUAUUUUAGCUGGUGAUGACGUCAUUAGUAAGGGAUGACUCUGGCGAUGAUUUUCCUUGGAUAUGAGUGACAGUGAGCCUGCGGUGUAAUCACUGAUAGUGAGUGCAAUCGGAGUGGCAAAUGAAAGGUUCCAAAUCCGCUGUCUCCUCAAAAGAGUCCGUCUUCAUGCAACACACAUACAGUAAACCCAAGUGUUGUUCACUCUGCUACAUAUUAACAAAAAAAAGAUUGGCAUGUGUCCUGUUUUCUACCAUGAGGCAUGCAUGAUUGUGGUUAUAUAAGAUAAAAGAAAGCAAACAUGCCCAUUGUGAAAACCCCUCAGAUUCUAGAGCAGAUUCGUGUUAUUACUCUCCUCACCUUCCCACAAUCCCCUUUGAUCUACAAUAGCAUUUCAUGGCUUAUAACUUACCCAUAAUCAACCUCUGAUGGCGUCACACAUAAAAUUUCCAGAUGCAUGAAGAUCCUACAGACUCCUUCAGAAGUGUGGGGAUUUCCUCUGUCAGUUACUGUAACUGAAUGCACUGACGAGAUCACAGAUGAGAUCACAGAUCAUCACAAAUGACCAACAUUUCAGCUUUACCCUUGUCAAACAAAGUAUUAUUCUGCAAAUCAGACAAUUUGUUUAUCAGUAAUUGGAUAAAAGCUGCUUUUUAUUUUAUUCUUCAAAGUGUAACCCGUUCGGUCCUAAUUGCCGCACUCUUAGCGGGACUCGAACCCAGGUCGCUGGCAUGGGAUGCGGGCACACUAACAAAGAUGUUAAAGAAUGCAAGCUGUAGUACCUUUUGCAAUCAGGAGAGUGAGGUUUACCUACACACCUCUCACUAGCCAGCCUCUGUUACUUUCAACCCCCUAAAUAUCACUCCCAUCCGGGUCACAGCAAAAAUGUAACCCUUUCGGUCGGGGCUCAAACUCGAACCUGUGUCAGGUGCGCUAACAAGGACGUUAAAGACUGCAGUCUCUAGCGUCGGUCACUAAUGUGCCCCUUGAGAUCAGUGAGCUUUACUUGCACAGCUCUCAAUAGCUGGCCUCCGUUACACUCAGCCCCCUAAACUUAACACCUAUUCCGGUCACGGCACCAAUGUAACCUCUCCGGACAUACUCACACCGCUCAAGCAGGCCUCAAACCCGGAUCGCCAGCAUGGAAGAUGGGCAUGCUAACAAGGAUGCUAACGACCAGAGUCUCUAGUAGGGCUGCACAAUUAAUUGAAUUUCUAAUCACGAUUACGAUUACAGAUGCCACAAAAACACCAGCACCUGCCAUUUUUAAAAGCUAUGUACACUAUGGUACACAGCUCACUCCACGGACUAACUCUACCAACAUCGGAAACAGUGAUAGGUGGACCUCUCAACCUUAUGCUAAGGAGAAAAUCCAGCGCGACUUUGAGCGGACCAAGCAAAACAUGAUUAUGUAUUUCUGCUUAGCUAUUGAUACUGGGCAUUAACCACAUGGCAAUAGCUAAUAAUUUUCAUAUACUGUCUACUUUCUUUGUAUAACAGUUCUAUAUAAUAACGUAUUAGACAGGACUGUAAAACAGAUCGUAAACUAAUGAAGACGGAGAAUGCAAGCACUGUGUGCUCAGGCUCUGGCUGAGCUGUUCUCAGCACCGUCAAAAUAAAAGUAACAACAACAAGCACAGUUUACGUCACUUCAGAGUUCCUACUGGCAACCAGUAAAAUGGCCCUAGGGGAACAUUAGUUCUUGGGGAAUCAUCCUGGUGGCUAGUGCCUAUAACUAAGUUCCUAGAAUAAUAUGGUGCGAAAGCCCCUAUUAUUUUUACAUGCAUAUGUUUACUUUUUUUUUUUUUUUUGUAAAGAAACCAAACCAAACCAAUGUUUGAGUUUUUUCAGCUAGUUUUUUAUUUUUUCAUAAAAAUAUGGCAUGCAGCUGCUUCAAACAAUGGUAAAAAGCUAUUUAAAACAUCAUUCAAGGUAAUUGUAAUAAUCAUAAUUAAUAAUUACUAUUACAAUUUCAAGAGAAUCAUCGACAAUUAGAUUUUUGUCCUAAUCGUGCAGCCCUAGUCUCUAGUGUGCCUCUUGAGAUCAGGGGAGUGAGGUUUACCUGCACAGCUCUCACUAGCUGGCCUCUUUUACAAUUACCCACUAAACCUCACUCCCAUCCGGGUCACGGCACCAAUGUAUCCCCUCCAGUCCAAUCUGUCUCGCUCUGAGCGAAACUCUAACCCGGGUCACCGGGAUGGGAGGCGGGCACGCUAACAAGAAUGUUAAAGACUGCAGUCUCUAAUGUUAGUCACUAGUGCGCCUCUUGGGUUCAGGGGAGUGAGGAUGACCUACACAGAUCUCACUAGCUGGCCUUCGUUAGAAAAGCAACAGUCUCUGAAUACCUUUGCCACAAAGUGUUUGUAAAAAUGCAAGAUUAGUGUUUUUUUGUGUGUGUUUAUGUAAUAAACAGGCCAUUUUCCUUCCAGCUCAAAGCCACCAGAAAAAAGAAGAAGGUUAAGAGACCUACUCCGGAAACCCACAGUGAGACACAUGAGACUGAACAGAAAGUGACAGAAGAUCAACAUCAUUUGUGGGCAGAAGACAAUAAAGACUAAAGCUGCAUUUACACUUUGUCACUGCAUGAUGCCAGUGGCUGGCAGUGAGGUCGCUAGCAGACAUUACUACUACUGGUUGCUUAGUAAUGUUUGUGAAUGACAUUCACAGAUGUUAUUUCAUGUUGUAGAUAAUGAAUCCAUUUUCUUUCCACUAAAAACAGCAUGUGCUUUUUGCAAUUACAGCUGUUUAUCUGUGGCAAAAAAAAGAAAAAAAAAAGCAAAGCAGUAGUCUAUCUGGGUUCACAAACCCUGGGAAGUUGCUGACCGCAGUUUCUGAUGUUGUUGUGAUGUUGUAAGGAACCCCGCAUUGGCCCAAAAACGGAAUCCGACGGCCUGGGCGAAGGUUAACGCGUGUAUGUCUUUUCAGCGCCUCUGUGAAGUUAACUUAAUUUCACUCAUUUAAUCUGACUCCAAUUUCAAAUGAUUAUUACUCUUAGGUUGUGUUCCCAAUUAGAAAUUAAUCAUUUGUUAUGUAUUAAUUUAGAUUUUUGAUUAUUCCGGGUAUCUCAUAUUUUCAAUUAUUCGUUCAUUACGGACCCAUAUCACUUAGAAAAGUCACUUCGGCUGGUGAGUGCCUUUCACGAUCACAAACUCGCCAGUUCUGAUCUUAGUCAGAGGGUGCAGAGUUUACUAAUGCAUUUGAGUCGAACCGCCACAUGCUUGUUCAUACAAAAACACAGUUUUCUUAGUCACGAUACUGCAACUUGCUAAGCCAGUUGAUAGACAAAAAUCAAAAAGUCCCAUGAUGUGCUAACAUGCUCCUUUCAUGGGCCUUUAGUUUGAAUCUAUCCUGACGCAGAUUUGCAGAAAUAUGGACUCCAAUAAUCUACUGGUCAUAACGAUUUCAGAAGAAUCCAGAGUAAAUCAAAUAUAACAUUUUAUUUGUCAAGUAAAAAUGUAUCAUGCCAAUUACAUAGUUGGACAAUUAGAAGCCAAUUCAGAAAUAAUAAAUGCAUAACAUCAAUUACUCAAAGAAAUGCAUGUACACACAGUGAUGUGUGAGUGUCUUCAGACAUUCAACCAUCUCUGCACGGGGGCUUCUGGCUACAGAUGAUCCCCCAUGACUUUAUAUACAGACCAGACAAAAGGGUUGUAAAUAUUUAUUACACCAACACCUGUUUUGGGGAGAGGAGUGGGUGUUUCAACACCCAAAAGGAGGACAGAAUUCUCCUUAGUUUUCAAUCUUCUUCAUAAUACCAGUGACUGCUGUGAAAUUGAGACCAUUUUACCAAUCGCACUGAGACAUUUAAAAUGAUACCAAACAUGAAAGGAAAAAGCAAUAGAUACACCAGAAACAUUAUACUUCUUGGAGAACUUUCAGUGACUUGAGUCAGGGGAAAAGGAAGGAGGGUGUGUGUGUGUGUGUGUGUGUGUGCGUGUGUGUGUGUGUGUGUGUGUGUGUGUGUGUGUGUGUGUUGGGGGGAGGGCUGUUGCAUCCUGUAGAUGUGUGAGGGCAAGGCGUUGUCCUAUGCUAUUUAUUUGAGAUCUUCUCUCCAGAUGAGUUUUAUUGCUUUAUUGCAGGGUGCUUGAUCUCAGUUUUUGUCUUAGCAAGAAAAUCAAGUCUUACAAUGUUAUGGGUGACAUCAUGAUCAGAUAGCACACAGAUGACAAUCUUUUUUAUGAAUAUCUCAUUAAGUUUCUCAUGAAUUCCAGAGGUGUUACAGUGUUGAACAUCGUUUUUUUCCCCCCCAUCCAGAACCACAGAUAUCUACUGUUUUUCUGAUACACUUUUUGAUUUUACAGAAAAAUAAUAACCAAAUCCAACAUAAGUAUACUGUCUGUUAUUUAAAAUAUUCUUGUAAACAUUCAAAAACAACUCCAUGAGGGAAAUAGUUGAGUCUCACUGUGACUGACCAUCAUCAAAUCUUGUCCUUUCUGAAGGCAAAUGAAGCGUCACCAAGAGAAAAUUAAACAAACUUCUGGAAAUUAAACAAAACCUGAUUCCAGAAUCUGAAAGAAAGCGAUGAGUUUGGUGCACAAAGAAUGAAUGAAUUAGAGUGUCUUGUGUGUUAAAAAUAAAUAUAACAUUAAUAUAAAGACUGUCCCCUUUUGUGUAGGUUUUGGUUUUAUUGUCUUUGCAAAACAUGCAUGAUCACACUUGUAAUAAUGGCUUUAAUGAGCUCAUUGUUUCUGCCUAAAAAUAAUUAAUGUUAGAUAACAUGAUUUGUAUUAUCUCGAACUGUUCAUUUCUGAAAUGGACAUUACUUGGACACAGUCACGCUGCUAACAGAUCUGAACCAUGACCCCCAAAGUCUGGUUCGUUUGACUAGUGUGAUCGCUCUGUACCGUGCCUGCAAUUUAAUUGAAUCUUAGUCUUUCUCAUCUGUAGAUAUCUGCACACACAUUCCACUUCAGCAACCUAUUUCUGUUUCUUUUCAGUCUCAUGUUUCUCACUUUGAGUUUCCUAAACAGCUCUGUUUUUUUCUUCACAACCAAACUAAACUUAGACCCUGAAACUGUGUUCUUUUACUAGGUCAAAGAGACUUGCUUGUAAAAUGUCUUUGUGUUUGCAGGGUUGUUUGAUACUGUGGUCAAUGUGAUAAAGAUCAACAACAUG